rnacentral:rRNA from 1 species
GACGAACGCUGGCGGCGUGCUUAACACAUGCAAGUCGAACGAAGUGGCGAACGGGUGAGUAACGCGUAAUCAACCUGCCCUUCAGAGGGGGACAACAGUUGGAAACGACUGCUAAUACCGCAUACUGAAGGAGGGGAUUGCGUCUGAUUAGCUAGUUGGCGGGGUAACGGCCCACCAGGGCGAUGAUCAGUAGCCGGGCCGAGAGGAUGAACGGCCAAAGUGGGACUGGGACACGGACCAGACGCCUACGGGAGGCAGCAGUGGGGAAUCGUCCGCAAUGGACGAAAGUCUGACGGAGCAACGCCGCGUGAGUGAUGACGGCCUUCGGGUUGUAAAGCUCUGUUAAGCGGGACGCGGUACCGGAAUAGAAAGCCACGGCUAACUACGUGCCAGCAGCCGCGGUAAUUC